rnacentral:rRNA from 1 species
UACGUAGGGUGCAAGCGUUAAUCGGAAUUACUGGGCGUAAAGCGGGCGCAGGUGGUUAUGCAAGCUUGAUGUGAAAUCCCCGAGCUUAACUUGGGAAUGGCAUUGAGGACUGCAUGACUAGAGUAUGUGAGAGGGGGGUAGAAUUCCACGUGUAGCAGUGAAAUGCGUAGAGAUGUGGAGGAAUACCGAUGGCGAAGGCAGCCCCCUGGCAUAAUACUGACACUCAGGCCCGAAAGCGUGGGGAGCAAACAGG